rnacentral:lncRNA from 1 species
CCCGGACUCAGUAAAAUCAACUGUUAGACUUUUUGCUGAUGAUUGUCUGCUAUACAGAAAUAUAAAAACACAACGGGACCACACACUGUUACAACAAGAUCUGGUUAGCCUAGAAAAAUGGGCCAAAGACUGGGGUAUGCGCUUCAAUGCAAAGAAAUGUUACAUCCUGAGCAUUAAGAACAAAAGCCAGAAGUUCUAUACCCUUGAUGGACACAUACUCCAACAGGUCAAACACAAUCCAUACCUGGGACUACAGAUAUCGGACGAUCUGAAAUGGACCACCCACAUUUCAAAUGUAACUAAGAAAGCAAAUUCUACACUAGGCUUUCUUAGACGAAAUCUAAGAUUCUGCCCAAAAGACUGCAAGAAAACAGCAUACAUUUCAUUGGUGAGAUCUACGAUGGAAUAUGGGGCAAUUGUAUGGGACCCUUAUACAUCAAAC